rnacentral:rRNA from 1 species
UUAAAAUUUAAAUGUUAAAUACUCAGGUAGUAAUAGAUAUGAACUUGAAACCUAAAGAAUUUGGCGGUAUUUUAGUCUGUUUAGAGGAAUUUGUCCCGUAAUCGAUAGUCCUCGUUGAACCUAACUUAAUUAAGAUGUAUGUAUACCGCCGUUUAUGAAAAUUCUUUUAGGAUAAAUUUUCUUGAAAUAUAUAUAUAUAUAUAUGAUUUCAGGUCAAGGUGCAGCUUAUAAUUAAGGGGAGAUGAAUUACAAUACUGUAAAGUAUAUGAAUUAAUAAUUGAAAUAUUUUUAUGAAGGUGGAUUUAAUAGUAAUAUUUUUGAGAUUGUAAAUAUGAUUUAAGCUCUAGAGUGUGU